rnacentral:misc_RNA from 1 species
GAUGAAGAACGUAGCAAAAUGCGAUAAGUAAUGUGAAUUGCAGAAUUCAGUGAAUCAUCGAAUCUUUGAACGCACAUUGCGCCCGCCAGUAUUCUGGCGGGCAUGCCUGUUCGAGCGUCAUUUCAACCCUCAAGCACAGCUUGGUGUUGGGACUCGCGUUAAUUCGCGUUCCCCAAAUUGAUUGGCGGUCACGUCGAGCUUCCAUAGCGUAGUAGUAAAACCCUCGUUACUGGUAAUCGUCGCGGCCACGCCGUUAAACCCCAACUUCUGAAUGUUGACCUCGGAUCAGGUAGGAAUACCCGCUGAACUUAAGCAUAUCAACAAGCGGAGGA